rnacentral:rRNA from 1 species
UUCGGGUGCGAGUAAAGUGGCGGACGGGUGAGUAACGCGUGGGAAUCUGCCUAGUAGUGGGGGAUAACAAUCGGAAACGGUUGCUAAUACCGCAUGUACCCUACGGGGGAAAGGCUUCGGCCGCUAUUAGAUGAGCCCGCGUAAGAUUAGCUUGUUGGCGGGGUAAUGGCCCACCAAGGCAACGACGGGUAGCUGGUCUGAGAGGAUGGUCAGCCACACUGGGACUGAGACACGGCCCAGACUCC